rnacentral:rRNA from 1 species
AUUGAACGCUGGCGGCAUGCCUUACACAUGCAAGUCGAACGGUAACGCGGGGCAACCUGGCGACGAGUGGCGAACGGGUGAGUAAAGCAUCGGAACGUGCCCAGUAGUGGGGGAUAGCCCGGCGAAAGCCGGAUUAAUACCGCAUACGACCUAUGGGUGAAAGGGGGGGAUCGCAAGACUUCUCGCUAUUGGAGCGGCCGAUGUCAGAUUAGGUAGUUGGUGGGGUAAAGGCCUACCAAGCCGACGAUCUGUAGCUGGUCUGAGAGGACGACCAGCCACACUGGGACUGAGACACGGCCCAGACUCCUACGGGAGGCAGCAGUGGGGAAUUUUGGACAAUGGGCGCAAGCCUGAUCCAGCCAUGCCGCGUGCGGGAAGAAGGCCUUCGGUUGUAAACCGCUUUUGUCAGGGAAGAAAUCCUUUGGGUUAAUACCUCGGGGGGAUGACGGUACCUGAAGAAUAAGCACCGGCUAACUACGUGCCAGCAGCCGCCGUAA